AGAGUUUGAUCAUGGCUCAGAUUGAACGCUGGCGGAAUGCUUUACACAUGCAAGUCGAGCGGCAGCGCGGGGCAACCUGGCGGCGAGCGGCGAACGGGUGAGUAAUGCAUCGGAACAUGUCCAUGUCGUGGGGGAUAGCCCGGCGAAAGCCGGAUUAAUACCGCAUACGCCCGAGAGGGGAAAGUGGGGGACCGCAAGGCCUCACGCGAUUGGGUUGGCCGAUGUCCGAUUAGCUAGUUGGCGGGGUAAGAGCCCACCAAGGCGAUGAUCGAUAGCUGGUCUGAGAGGAUGAUCAGCCACACUGGGACUGAGACACGGCCCAGACUCCUACGGGAGGCAGCAGUGGGGAAUUUUGGACAAUGGGGGCAACCCUGAUCCAGCCAUUCCGCGUGAGUGAAGAAGGCCUUCGGGUUGUAAAGCUCUUUUGUCCGGAACGAAACGGGUAGCGUGAAUAUCGCUGCCUACUGACGGUACCGGAAGAAUAAGCACCGGCUAACUACGUGCCAGCAGCGGCGGUAAUUC
rnacentral:rRNA from 1 species